UGGGGAAUUUUGGACAAUGGGCGCAAGCCUGAUCCAGCAAUGCCGCGUGCAGGAUGAAGGCCUUCGGGUUGUAAACUGCUUUUGUACGGAGCGAAAAGGUCUGCCCUAAUACGGUGGGCUCAUGACGGUACCGUAAGAAUAAGCACCGGCUAACUACGUGCCAGCAGCCGCGGCAAUACGUAGGGUGCGAGCGUUAAUCGGAAUUACUGGGCGUAAAGCGUGCGCAGGCGGUUAUGCAAGACAGAGGUGAAAUCCCCGGGCUCAACCUGGGAACUGCCUUUGUGACUGCAUAGCUAGAGUACGGCAGAGGGGGAUGGAAUUCCGCGUGUAGCAGUGAAAUGCGUAGAUAUGCGGAGGAACACCGAUGGCGAAGGCAAUCCCCUGGACCUGUACUGACGCUCGUGCACGAAAGCGUGGGGAGCAAACA
rnacentral:rRNA from 1 species